AUUGAACGCUGGCGGCAUGCUUUACACAUGCAAGUCGAACGGCAGCGCGGGCUUCGGCCUGGCGGCGAGUGGCGAACGGGUGAGUAAUGCAUCGGAACGUGCCCAGUAGUUGGGGAUAGCCCGGCUAAAGCCGGAUUAAUACCGCAUACGACCUGAGUGUGAAAGCGGGGGACCGAAAGGCCUCGCGCUAUUGGAUCGGCCGAUGUCGGAUUAGCUAGUUGGUGGGGUAAAGGCUUACCAAGGCGACGAUCCGUAGCUGGUCUGAGAGGACGACCAGCCACACUGGGACUGAGACACGGCCCAGACUCCUACGGGAGGCAGCAGUGGGGAAUUUUGGACAAUGGGGGCAACCCUGAUCCAGCCAUGCCGCGUGAGAGAAGAAGGCCUUCGGGUUGUAAACCGCUUUUGUUCGGGAAGAAAUCCUCUGGGCUAAUACCCCGGGGGGAUGACGGUACCGGAAGAAUAAGCACCGGCUAACUACGUG
rnacentral:rRNA from 1 species